ensembl:lncRNA
CCCCAGCCAGCCAAUCAGCCUGUAUCCUUCCAGCCAGCCCAUCAGCCUGUAUCCCUCCAGCCAGCCCAUCAGCCUGUAUCCCUCCAGCCAGCCCAUCAGCCUAUAUCCCCACAGCCAGCCAGACCAUCAGCCUGUAUCCCCCAGCCGUCCAGACCAUCAGCCUGUAUCUCCACAGCCAACCCCCAAGCCUCCCAGUCUGUAUCUCCCCCAGCCAGCCAUCAGCCUGUAUCCCUCCAGCCAGCCCAUCAGCCUGUAUCCCUCCAGCCAGCCCAUCAGCCUGUAUCCCUCCAGCCAGCCCAUCAGCCUGUAUCCCUCCAGCCAGCCCAUCAGCCUGUAUCCCUCCAGCCAGACCAUCAGCCUGUAUCCCCACAGCCAGCCCAUCAGCCUGUAUCCCUCCAGCCAGACCAUCAGCCUGUAUCCCCACAGCCAGCCCAUCAGCCUGUAUCCCUCCAGCCAGCCCAUCAGCCUGUAUCCCUCCAGCCAGACCAUCAGCCUGUAUCCCCACAGCCAGCCCAUCAGCCUGUAUCCCUCCAGCCAGACCAUCAGCCUGUAUCCCCACAGCCAGCCCAUCAGCCUGUAUCACUCCAGCCAGCCCAUCAGCCUGUAUCCCUCCAGCCAGACCAUCAGCCUGUAUCCCCACAGCCAGCCAGCCUUUAUCUCUACAGUGUUUACGCCUGAUUCCACUAUGUGUUUAAUAUGAACUGUAAUAAUUCUGGAACAUUUCCUGUAUGGUUUACAAGUUGGGGGGGUUCAGCUUUAAUUAUUGCAACUUUGGGAUAGAUCAACAUACUGCUCUCAGGACAAGGAUUGGGAAUAGAAAGGGGAGCUCAAGGUUUAAGGACAAAGUUGAGGUUUUGAGUUCUGAACAAAUGUGUACACAACUGAUUUACAAUGAUUGUUUCUCUUGUAGUGGAUAGAGCAUCACAAGAGUCUCAGUAAUGUAUGUUUCUUAACUGACCACAAAGUCCAGGACACUUCGUUGACUGUUAGCUCUCAUAUUGGAUAACAAGGACUUAUUAUUUAGAGUGUUUGAUGAAGAACAUGACUGUAUUUACAGACUGGUGACAUGAUGUUAUAUCCUGUAUAUUGUACAUAGAUAAGCCCUGUUAAUAUUCAUGUUUAUUCGAUUUUAAGGUUAUUUUUUAAAAACAUUUACAGGGUUCACAAUGUAGAGAAAUGAGAGAACCAAAACAAACAAAAAAAUACUAUGUCAAGUGGUCUCUCCACCACAAUAGUUGUUUUAAUAAAUUAUUUUCACUCUGUAUUAUUUACUGACAAAAAAGAUGAGGAGAUGCUCGGUGUGCGGUGCUGUUGACUUUGGUGACAUUGAACCAAUCUACUAGAGUUUCUUUCGUUUGGGUGUUGGGUUAUCGCUAAUUAUGUUUGGAUGGCUUUAUCCCGCAGGGUUGGCUGCUCUCCCCUAUUCAUUAGAGCUGCAGACACCCUCCAUUAGCUCUCGAGAUAGCUACUGGCGUUGAGAGUGAAGUGGAGGAGGAGACCCUCAUUAAACGACUCAACCAGUGAAUGCACUGUUGAUACAACGUGUUGAUACAGUGAAGCAUACCACCAACGAGCAACAAGUCACGCUGGUGCCUCAAGGGCUACGUUCAGUGGACAAGCUUUGUUCAAUGUUGCAGAUAAUAAUGCCAUGAAUAUAACCGAUGUGAUUCCAGUCGGAGGCAUGUUGUUCUUCACAUACUAUAUUUCUAUCUGCAAAGCUUGACAACGUUUUACUACUGAACGUGGCCUAGGUUUGUCUGGCAAUUUAUCAACAUUUACAUUCAUAUUGUCAACAUGCACUGACUGUACAAAGCAUAAAGAACACCUGCUCUCGGAACAUUUUCGUAUUCUUCUGUGCAUAAAUCCGAGACACUCCCAUUUAGUAUAUGUAUUAGUUUGUGGAUGUCCAUUACCCAUUUUGUUUGAUAUGUUACGGUUUACAAUUUAUCUGUUAUUUUACCAGGUAAGUUGACUGAGAACACAUUCUCAUGAGCCAAUUGUAAACUGG